CCUACGGGUGGCAGCAGUGGGGAAUAUUGCACAAUGGGGGAAACCCUGAUGCAGCGACGCCGCGUGAGUGAAGAAGUAAUUCGUUAUGUAAAGCUCUAUCAGCAGGGAAGAAAAUGACGGUACCUGAGUAAGAAGCCCCGGCUAACUACGUGCCAGCAGCCGCGGUAAUACGUAGGGGGCAAGCGUUAUCCGGAUUUACUGGGUGUAAAGGGAGCGUAGACGGCAGCGCAAGUCUGGAGUGAAAUCCCAUGGCUUAACCAUGGAACUGCUUUGGAAACUGUGCAGCUGGAGUGCAGGAGUGGUAAGCGGAAUUCCUAGUGUAGCGGUGAAAUGCGUAGAUAUUAGGAGGAACACCAGUGGCGAAGGCGGCUUACUGGACUGUAACUGACGUUGAGGCUCGAAAGCGUGGGGAGCAAACAGGAUUAGAUACCCCUGUAGUC
rnacentral:rRNA from 1 species